AUCGAGGGAGGCACAGCCAUGCGUGCACAUAUAUAUACAUGCCGCUGCCUGUCCAUCUAUCUACAUAGUUGCAUACACAGCUCGAACGAACAAAGGAUCACUCCGAGAUCGAUCGAUCCGUCGAUAUGGAGAACGGACAGCCGCAGCCUCCUCCAGGCUACCCGACGGUGGACCCGAAACAGCAGGCCGGCGGCAGGAGGAAAUGCUGCUGCGGGCCGUGGCGCCGCAGGACCAAGCGUGGGGAGACCAGUUUCAUCGAAGGAUGCCUUGCCGCGCUCUGUUGCUGCUGGCUUUGCGAGCUGUGCUGCGAUUGAAGGGGAUGCAUGCAGCAUGCAUGCCCACGGUUACAGAUGACCGCAGGCUCUAGCUGCGGCUCUACGUCGUUGGAGAUCUUACAUAAUUAAUUCGGUCAUGCUCUGCUAGGUGUUUUACGUCAUGAUCUAGUCCUAUGUGGUCUACAAUGCGUAGAUAUCUUGCAUCGUAUCAAGGCCUUGUAUCUUUGUAUCAUCGAAUUUUCUGUAUUUAACAUAUACUACCUAUGGUCGUCUUGCGAUUU